UGGGGAAUUUUGGACAAUGGGCGCAAGCCUGAUCCAGCCAUGCCGCGUGCAGGAUGAAGGCCUUCGGGUUGUAAACUGCUUUUGUACGGAACGAAAAGACUCUGGUUAAUACCUGGGGUCCAUGACGGUACCGUAAGAAUAAGCACCGGCUAACUACGUGCCAGCAGCCGCGGUAAUACGUAGGGUGCGAGCGUUAAUCGGAAUUACUGGGCGUAAAGCGUGCGCAGGCGGUUUGUUAAGUCAGAUGUGAAAUCCCCGCGCUUAACGUGGGAACUGCAUUUGAAACUGGCAAGCUAGAGUCUUGUAGAGGGGGGUAGAAUUCCGCGUGUAGCAGUGAAAUGCGUAGAUAUGCGGAGGAACACCGAUGGCGAAGGCAAUCCCCUGGACCUGUACUGACGCUCAUGCACGAAAGCGUGGGGAGCAAACA
rnacentral:rRNA from 1 species